rnacentral:rRNA from 1 species
GACAGAGGUGCCGAGCGUUAGGCGGAAUCACUGGGCUUAAAGCGUGUGUAGGCGGUGCUCUAAGUUCGGUGUGAAAUCUCCCGGCUUAACUGGGAGGGUGCGCCGGAAACUGGAGUGCUUGAGCGCGGGAGAGGAAAGCGGAAUUCCUGGUGUAGCGGUGAAAUGCGUAGAUAUCAGGAGGAACACCUGUGGUGUAGACGGCUUUCUGGACCGUAGCUGACGCUGAGACACGAAAGCGUGGGUAGCAAACAGG